rnacentral:rRNA from 1 species
AAUCAACGCUGGCGGCGUGCCUCAGACAUGCAAGUCGAACGCGAAAGUCCCCCUCGGGGGACGAAGUAGAGUGGCGCACGGGUGAGUAACACGUAGGUAAUCUACCUUCGGGUGGGGAAGUAACAAUCGGAAACGGUUGCUAAUACCGCAUAAUGCAGCGGCACCUAAUGGUGACAGUUGUUAAAGCGGGGGAGUCGCAAGAUCUCGCGCCUGAAGAGGAGCCUGCGGCGGAUUAGCUAGUUGGUAGGGUAAUGGCCUACCAAGGCGACGAUCCGUAGCCGGCCUGAGAGGGCGGUCGGCC